rnacentral:tmRNA from 1 species
GGGGAUGACCGGUUUCGACAGCGGUGGCUGGUCAGUUGGGGCGCGCCGAGGUUGUCCGUUCGCCUCGCAAAACCACGGGCACUGGCAUAACUGCCAAUCGCGAAUACGCUCUCGCCGCCUAAACAAGGUGACGACGUCCCUCCUCUCCUCCUCCCGAUGGGAGCGGAAGGGGCGCCAUGUAGUCGGGAUGCUACCCAUCAGACGCCGAUAAGAGGGGUCCAAGACUAUCGUGCUGGCGAUGGCACUCCGUGCUGAUGCGGCCGGCUAUCGCGAGAUCACCAAGUAUCAGACACGCGCGUAGAUCCACCUGUUCUGUCUCGUUGGACGCGGGUUCGACUCCCGCCAUCUCCACCC